UACGUAGGGUGCAAGCGUUGUCCGGAAUUAUUGGGCGUAAAGAGCUCGUAGGCGGUUUGUCGCGUCGAAUGUGAAAACCCGGGGCUCAACCCCGGACCUGCAUUCGAUACGGGCAGACUAGAGUUCGGUAGGGGAGUCUGGAAUUCCUGGUGUAGCGGUGAAAUGCGCAGAUAUCAGGAGGAACACCGGUGGCGAAGGCGGGACUCUGGGCCGAUACUGACGCUGAGGAGCGAAAGCGUGGGGAGCGAACAGG
rnacentral:rRNA from 1 species